rnacentral:tRNA from 1 species
GCCUGGGUGGCGGAAUUUGGCAGACGCGGCAGACUCAAAAUCUGCUGGCUUUUUAAGCCUUGUGGGUUCGACUCCCACCCCAGGCA